rnacentral:lncRNA from 1 species
GGGCUGGCUGCUCUUCGUAACCUGGCCAAGGCACGUUUAUGGGCACUUAAAGGCAAAUUCUCUGGAGGCACUGAGUGAGAAACAAGGGAGAUGCUGUUAUUUGCAUUGGCAAGAAUGCAACUGACUCGUUGGCAGUGUAGCAACAAUAACUGGGUGGACUGAAGCUGGAUAAAAACUGAGGUGUAGAUGGGCUUAAAGAGGCUUUCCCACAAAACAGUUUACUGAUCAGAAGCAUCUUGAUGGAUUUUCUUACACUGGAAACCAGAAUAGUUCAAUGAUAGACCAUGUGAUUUGCAUGUAAAAGGUCCCAGUUACAAUCAC